UUACGGCUAUAUCAUGUUAAAACUCGUGUUCUCGUGCAAUCACCGAAGUUAAGCAACGUCGAUCCUGGCUAGUACCUAGAUCGGUGACUGCUUGGGAAUCCCAGGGGUUGUAA